rnacentral:rRNA from 1 species
UACGAAGGGGGCUAGCGUUGUUCGGAAUCACUGGGCGUAAAGCGCACGUAGGCGGAUUUUUAAGUCAGGGGUGAAAUCCCGAGGCUCAACCUCGGAACUGCCUUUGAUACUGGGGAUCUGGAGUCCGGGAGAGGUGAGCGGAACUGCGAGUGUAGAGGUGAAAUUCGUAGAUAUUCGCAAGAACACCAGUGGCGAAGGCGGCUCACUGGCCCGGAACUGACGCUGAGGCGCGAAAGCGUGGGGAGCAAACAGG